GUCCCCGUGGAUCAAUGCAGCUCGCUCCACUUAAUUGUAAUUGUCGAUGGCUAAUUAAUGGAGAGACGGGCGUUCGAGUCGCCCCGGGGACA